AACUCAAGGACUAUCAGAGGUAGAGAGGCGAGGCAGGGGUGAGGACAUCAUCCUGCUAUUUUGACAGUCCCUGAAGGACAAUACAGAAGAGGGAUUUGCUCUUAUUCCUUCCCUUUCUCUAAUGUAUUUUCUAGUAAAAUUAGCAAGUGUAGUACGAUGCUUUACUUUACUAGGACUGGAGACCACAGCAGCGAUCCUGCUCUUGCCCUACCUCUUCCAUGAGGACAAGGUCCGUGACAAGAUUUCACCGCUCUUCACUCCUUUACUGCACAUCGGUGGAAAUCCAUUUCACCAUGAGAGUGAAAUCCCGCUGGCCUUUGAUGGGGAGAACAUCCAGGCCCUUGAGGACGCCCCCAUGGGACUUGGAGCUCUGCUACGGCUGGAUUUUUUAUUUUCCCUUAAAUUUCCCAAAAAUGUCAGAAAAACACUUAUGUUGUUAAGUUACUGUGUUCUGGGGAUCAGAGAAGUUGGGGUGAAGUUACCAGGGCCGGUCAUAAAGAUGGAAAACUUCCUAACAUAACUAAGUGGAUACGAUAUACACACUAAAGCUGAAAAAUCUGUAUCUUGCAUCAAGUCUACAAUAUUGUUAGUUGACCUAUGAUUCAUUUUUAAUGUUGUUUUUAUAGUACAUCAUUAUACAAAGAAAUGUAUUAUUAAUUAUGGUCUGACAUGUCUGCAGAAAUGUUGCAAUAUUGUAAUAUGUUUUGUUUGGUAAAUAUUAAUUCAUAUUUGUGGUGGCACUAAAAUAAACAAUGCAUUAUUUAAA